UUUCGGAUCGUAAAACUCUGUUGUUGGAGAAGAAUGUAUCUGAUAGUAACUGAUCAGGUAGUGACGGUAUCCAACCAGAAAGCCACGGCUAACUACGUGCCAGCAGCCGCGGUAAUACGUAGGUGGCAAGCGUUGUCCGGAUUUAUUGGGCGUAAAGCGAGCGCAGGCGGUUUCUUAAGUCUGAUGUGAAAGCCUUCGGCUCAACCGAAGAAGUGCAUCGGAAACUGGGAAACUUGAGUGCAGAAGAGGACAGUGGAACUCCAUGUGUAGCGGUGAAAUGCGUAGAUAUAUGGAAGAACACCAGUGGCGAAGGCGGCUGUCUGGUCUGUAACUGACGCUGAGGCUCGAAAGCAUGGGUAGCAAACAGGAUUAGAUACCCUGGUAGUCCAUGCCGUAAACGAUGAGUGCUAGGUGUUGGAGGGUUUCCGCCCUUCAGUGCCGCAGCUAACGCAUUAAGCACUCCGCCUGGGGAGUACGACCGCAAGGUUGAAACUCAAAGGAAUUGACGGGGGCCCGCACAAGCGGUGGAGCAUGUGGUUUAAUUCGAAGCAACGCGAAGAACCUUACCAGGUCUUGACAUCCUUUGACCACUCUAGAGAUAGAGCUUUCCCUUCGGGGACAAAGUGACAGGUGGUGCAUGGUUGUCGUCAGCUCGUGUCGUGAGAUGUUGGGUUAAGUCCCGCAACGAGCGCAACCCUUA
rnacentral:rRNA from 2 species